rnacentral:rRNA from 1 species
AUGCAAGUCGAGCGGUAAGGCCCUUCGGGGUACACGAGCGGCGAACGGGUGAGUAACACGUGGGUGAUCUGCCUCGCACUUCGGGAUAAGCCUGGGAAACUGGGUCUAAUACCGGAUAUGACUUCCAGCUGCAUGGUUGGUGGUGGAAAGAUUUAUCGGUGCGAGAUGGGCCCGCGGCCUAUCAGCUUGUUGGUGGGGUAAUGGCCUACCAAGGCGACGACGGGUAGCCGGCCUGAGAGGGCGACCGGCCACACUGGGACUGAGACACGGCCCAGACUCCUACGGGAGGCAGCAGUGGGGAAUAUUGCACAAUGGGCGAAAGCCUGAUGCAGCGACGCCGCGUGAGGGAUGACGGCCUUCGGGUUGUAAACCUCUUUCGACAGGGACGAAGCGCAAGUGACGGUACCUGUAGAAGAAGCACCGGCCAACUACGUGCCAGCAGCCGCGGUAAUACGUAGGGUGCGAGCGUUGUCCGGAAUUACUGGGCGUAAAGAGCUUGUAGGCGGUUUGUCGCGUCGUCUGUGAAAACUCACAGCUCAACUGUGAGCUUGCAGGCGAUACGGGCAGACUUGAGUACUGCAGGGGAGACUGGAAUUCCUGGUGUAGCGGUGAAAUGCGCAGAUAUCAGGAGGAACACCGGUGGCGAAGGCGGGUCUCUGGGCAGUAACUGACGCUGAGAAGCGAAAGCGUGGGUAGCGAACAGGAUUAGAUACCCUGGUAGUCCACGCCGUAAACGGUGGGCGCUAGGUGUGGGUUUCCUUCCACGGGAUCCGUGCCGUAGCUAACGCAUUAAGCGCCCCGCCUGGGGAGUACGGCCGCAAGGCUAAAACUCAAAGGAAUUGACGGGGGCCCGCACAAGCGGCGGAGCAUGUGGAUUAAUUCGAUGCAACGCGAAGAACCUUACCUGGGUUUGACAUACACCGGAAACCUGCAGAGAUGUAGGCCCCCUUGUGGUCGGUGUACAGGUGGUGCAUGGCUGUCGUCAGCUCGUGUCGUGAGAUGUUGGGUUAAGUCCCGCAACGAGCGCAACCCUUGUCCUGUGUUGCCAGCGCGUAAUGGCGGGGACUCGCAGGAGACUGCCGGGGUCAACUCGGAGGAAGGUGGGGANGACGUCAAGUCAUCAUGCCCCUUAUGUCCAGGGCUUCACACAUGCUACAAUGGCCGGUACAGAGGGCUGCGAUACCGNGAGGUGGAGCGAAUCCCUUAAAGCCGGUCUCAGUUCGGAUCGGGGUCUGCAACUCGACCCCGUGAAGUUGGAGUCGCUAGUAAUCGCAGAUCAGCAACGCUGCGGUGAAUACGUUCCCGGGCCUUGUACACACCGCCCGUCACGUCAUGAAAGUCGGUAACACCCGAAGCCGGUGGCCUAACCC